rnacentral:rRNA from 1 species
CUCGUAGGCGGUUCGUCGCGUCCGGUGUGAAAGUCCAUCGCUUAACGGUGGAUCCGCGCCGGGUACGGGCGGGCUUGAGUGCGGUAGGGGAGACUGGAAUUCCCGGUGUAACGGUGGAAUGUGCAGAUAUCGGGAAGAACACCAAUGGCGAAGGCAGGUCUCUGGGCCGUUACUGACGCUGAGGAGCGAAAGCGUGGGGAGCGAACA